rnacentral:rRNA from 1 species
GGGUCAGUAGGUUGGUCGUGCCACCGGUACGUACUGGUCUCACUGAUUCCUCCUUCCUGAAGAACCGUAAUGCCAUUAAUUUGGUGUUGCGGGGAAACAGGACUGUUACUUCGAAAAAAUUAGAGUGUUUAAAGCAGGCUAACGCUUGAAUACAUUAGCAUGGAAUAAUGAAAUAGGACGAUCGAUCCUAUUUUGUUGGUUUCUAGGAUUGACGUA